rfam:Arthrobacter globiformis NBRC 12137 DNA, contig: ARGLB005.
GGUCCAGAGUCAGCACGCCAAGGACCGGCUCGUGCUGCGGCAACCCUCAGGCAUUUGAUGGCGGGGUGCUCCGGAAACAGACCUGGCCGCACUUGCGGCAAGUGAAUGUC